ACAGAGCUGCUGCUGAUGCGUCCUUAUCAGUGUCUAUCCACGCUGACACACCAAAAGAAAUCACGAUGUCUGAAAGACAACGGAGGCCACGGGAGACGCGACAAUUAAUGCAGGGAACACAAUCAAGACGUUACCAAACCAAAUUAAGGAGGGAAACACUGACGUUGGGACGACUGUGCCUCCUUCAAAUGUGCCUGAGCAAAGCGUCGCGCAUAAUAAAGAGUGAACGCACGCCGCUGUCUUUAUCAGGCAAACGUCUAUGUGAGCAGAAAGAAGACUUCAUAUGCAGACAAAAUGGACCUCCCAUCGUCCUCCCAACUUGACUCCGCCCAUCAUCUGCCCGCCGCUCAUCAAUAAGAAAUAGACCUGCAUACCUCACUGACCAGGGCUCACGGCCUCUCCAUGCAUGCACAUUUCACAGACACACACACAUAUGAGCAGUCAUUGUUAUGGAGGUGCCCAUCCCAGGUGGGGCUGAUUAAGUUUUCAUGGAUGUCCUCGGGGCGAAACACUUAAGGGUUAACCAGCUUCCUCCAGCAGAAUUAAAAGAGUUAAAAGUCUGCCCUGUCUUUCCACACGUCCCUUUAUUCUCGGCCCUUCUCACUAGCUGCUCAUUGGUUGGCCGCUCAAUCAGUCGAGGAUUAUGUCAACGCAAAGUCAAGGACCGAAACAAUCGUUGACAGGAUGUGAAAUCAGUUUAUUCUUUGGCUUACAUUCUGUAAUAUCAACAGACAUCAGCAGUGCAUUUACUCUGAAAUAAUAAUAAAUAAAUGUGGUGCUGUU